AUUGAACGCUGGCGGCAGGCCUAACACAUGCAAGUCGAGCGGCAGCGGGAAAGUAGCUUGCUACUUUUGCCGGCGAGCGGCGGACGGGUGAGUAAUGCCUGGGGAUCUGCCCAGUCGAGGGGGAUAACAGUUGGAAACGACUGCUAAUACCGCAUACGCCCUACGGGGGAAAGGAGGGGACCUUCGGGCCUUUCGCGAUUGGAUGAACCCAGGUGGGAUUAGCUAGUUGGUGGGGUAAUGGCUCACCAAGGCGACGAUCCCUAGCUGGUCUGAGAGGAUGAUCAGCCACACUGGAACUGAGACACGGUCCAGACUCCUACGGGAGGCAGCAGUGGGGAAUAUUGCACAAUGGGGGAAACCCUGAUGCAGCCAUGCCGCGUGUGUGAAGAAGGCCUUCGGGUUGUAAAGCACUUUCAGCGAGGAGGAAAGGUUG
rnacentral:rRNA from 1 species